rnacentral:rRNA from 1 species
GAUGAACGCUGGCGGCGUGCUUAACACAUGCAAGUCGAACGGUGAAGCAGAGCUUGCUCUGUGGAUCAGUGGCGAACGGGUGAGUAACACGUGAGCAACCUGCCCCGGACUCUGGGAUAAGCGCUGGAAACGGCGUCUAAUACCGGAUACGAGAUUCCACCGCAUGGUGAGUUUCUGGAAAGAUUUUUUGGUCUGGAUGGGCUCACGGCCUAUCAGCUUGUUGGUGAGGUAAUGGCUCACCAAGGCGUCGACGGGUAGCCGGCCUGAGAGGGUGACCGGCCACACUGGGACUGAGACACGGCCCAGACUCCUACGGGAGGCAGCAGUGGGGAAUAUUGCACAAUGGGCGGAAGCCUGAUGCAGCAACGCCGCGUGAGGGAUGACGGCCUUCGGGUUGUAAACCUCUUUUAGCAGGGAAGAAGCGAAAGUGACGGUACCUGCAGAAAAAGCGCCGGCUAACUACGUGCCAGCCGCCGCGGUAACAC